GUAACACAGCCUUUCAUUUUACAGUCCCAAUUGUAUAGCAGCGUGAAGGACAGGACACAAGUUGAUAGAGAUUUGGAGUCACUGAAGAAAGACAGAGUACUCCGUGUAUUCAAACUCAAUACUGGGCAGGAUGACCAUGCAAUCAUGUUCAUGGAUGAUUAUCUGAAACAGAUGGAAUCUGCUGUCAGGGGGUCAACGGGCAAAAACCAAGAUGGUAGUGAAGUGUUUGAGUGGUUUGAGAAAUAUGUUCUGCAUUCGAAAUUGGAUGUUAGCAUAGAUCACCUAGAGAUGUGUUCACUGCUAUCACAUGGGGGUGAUGCAAGAGAUAAACACAUCACCCUAUUGAUGAAUGCUGGUCUCCUGACACGUCAACUAAUAGAUCCAAAUAUGUACUGGUUUUCUAUUCCAAGUAUUGGUCCUAUCUUGAAAGGCCUAUCCCAGGGGAGGAAGGAAGUUCUUUCAUUACUGAACCGUCGGAAGUACAAGGAGAUGCUACUAUCUUCACUGGAGAAGACGAGGUUGAGGUUAUCACCUCUCGACGUGCGGUUCCACCUCCGCGAUCUGAUUGGGUCUGGUCACAUAAAGACGGUUCAAACACCCACCGGCUUACUUGCUCGCGUGUCAACAGAUUGA
rnacentral:rRNA from 1 species